GAGUUUGAUCAUGGCUCAGAUUGAACGCUGGCGGUAGGCUUAACACAUGCAAGUCGUGCGAGAAAGUAUCUUCGGAUAUGAGUAGAGCGGCGGACGGGUGAGUAACGCGUAGGAAUCUACCUAGUAGAAGGGGAUAGCCCGGGGAAACUCGGAUUAAUACCGUAUACCUCCUUCGGGAGAAAGAAGGCCUCUCUUUGAAGCUUUCGCUAUUAGAUGAGCCUGCGUAAGACUAGCUUGUUGGUGAGGUAAAGGCUCACCAAGGCUACGAUCUUUAGCUGGUCUGAGAGGACGAUCAGCCACAUUGGGACUGAGACACGGCCCAGACUCCUACGGGAGGCAGCAGUGGGGAAUAUUGGACAAUGGGCGCAAGCCUGAUCCAGCCAUACCGCGUGUGUGAAGAAGGCCUUCGGGUUGUAAAGCACUUUAAGCAGGGAGAAAAAGUUAUAGGUUAAUACCCUAUGACCCUGAUGUUACCUGCAGAAUAAGCACCGGCUAAUUCCGUGCCAGCAGCCGCGGUAAUACGGAAGGUGCAAGCGUUAAUCGGAAUUACUGGGCGUAAAGCGCGCGUAGGUGGUUUGUUAAGUUGGAUGUGAAAGCCCUGGGCUCAACCUAGGAACUGCAUCCAAAACUAACUCACUAGAGUACGAUAGAGGGAGGUAGAAUUCAUAGUGUAGCGGUGGAAUGCGUAGAUAUUAUGAAGAAUACCAGUGGCGAACGCGGCCUCCUGGAUCUGUACUGACACUGAGUGCGAAAGCGUGGGUAGCGA
rnacentral:rRNA from 1 species